GAGCUUUCUCUCUUCAUAAAGGAGAAGUUUCUAAUUUCAAACUCAUUUAAGUGGUAACUUUUGUCACAUAUAUCACUAAAAGGAACACAGCAUAAGCCACCAUUUAGAUUUGCAUUGUAAUGGAGUACAGCACUAAUGAGCAAGAAUCAGCUUUUAUCAUGGUAAUUUUUAUACACUUCUUUAAACAUCAAUGAGCUGUAACAUGUUUUUUUAUGUGUUGAAAUAGUUAAGUACUCAAAUGACUUUUUUUUUUCUCAUUUCCUUUUUACUUUUAUUUCUUCCUUUUCUCAGAGGUUAUGUCUUUCAGUGGAGGGAGUGAGGAGUUUAUGGCUUUGUUUGCUUCAUAAAAAAAAUGAGAAUAAAGAAAAUAGAAGAAAGAAAGAUAAUAGAAAAUUGGGUGAUCUUUUAGUUGUAUGUUUUGAAAGAAAAUUGAAAGGAUUUGAAAAUAUCAAAUGACAUAUAUGCUUAUUACACAUGAUAUAAAAUGUUUUUUAAUAUUCCAAUUUGAUAUAUUAAAUAUAUUUUUCUUAGUGAUUAUGUAAACAUAAUUUUUCAUGAAUUAAUAAUAUAAUAUCAUGUAAUAUUAGUUUAAAUAUUUUUGAAUAUUGCUUCAUGCUUAUGACUUUGAGGUUGCAGGGUAAUGCUAUAAUGUGUCCAAUUGCAAAUAAUAUCUCAACUUUCACAAAAUAAUUACCAAGAAGCUGCACAGAAUUGUGUGAAAAAGCUUAAUUAUGUUUGGGCCAUCAUAUCAUAUAUAACCCAAUAUCAAAGUAUAUGAUUUGAUAGUUUUUUUCUCAUGUUUGAUCUUUAUCUUUGGCUGAAGUCACAUCCAAGGUAGGUAUUACCUUCACUUUUUUGAACAAAAACACACACUAUUUGUUCACUGACUUAAGAAAGCUAUUACUCUUUAUCCUUGGCUGAAGUCCCAUCCAUGUUUUCUGGUGCAAAUUUUUUCCAAAGAAAGCUAUUACUCUAUUAGUAUCCAAUAAUGAUUAGAAAAUAAAUAAAAAAACAUGAAAAAGUGGAGAAAAAAAACUCUCAUUUGUCUUUUUAAUAAGUUAUUUUACUCAUAUUACCAAAGGUAUUUCUCACAAUUUUGUAUAAGGAACUAGUCACUUUCAAAAUUUGUAGUUGUCUCCUAAUAAAUAUGUUCAUAUAAAUCAAAUAGUUGACAUUUUGAUCAUCAUAAAUAUUUAAUAGAAUCUUAUACGAAUAGACCAAUAUUUUGUUGGUUAGUCAUUUAACAAAAAAAUAAAAAAAAUAGCUAUUGGGUGGUAAUUUCCUCAAUGAGGCGUGUGAUUCAUGAGUUAGGGCUUUCUCACAUAUUGAAGAGUAUAGUAAUAGAAUACUAGGAAAAACUAAAUUUCUUGAUUUUAAUUUUUUAUUAAGAAAUAAAUUAAAAUCAUGUGUGGAUAGAGUUUGUGAUUUUUAUUUGCAGGUUGAGGAAGGGCACGUGUUGCAUUGUAGCAAGUGUAACAGAAGCUGUGGAACGCAUCCAAUGCACCUUUAAAAAAGGUGCAACAAUGCUAAGCUAGCUAAAGUGGUUAAUUAAUUGGAUUAUGAACGAGCCAGAGUGAGCAAUGCCCAUAGUUUUAAGGAUUUGGUUGUGGUGUAUAGUAAACUUAAAAUUAUUCCCUCACUCUUAUUAUCAUGGUAAAAGAAUUAUGAUAAUAAAUAAAAGC
rnacentral:lncRNA from 1 species